GUUAUCAAGAGAUAGAUGAUCCUUUUUCUGUCUUAUCUUACGGAGCUGCAAAUGAGUUUCUAAGAUUUGGAAGACUGGCGGAUCUAGCUACUUGUCAUUAAGAUAUAGAUUGCCCUUUUUUUUUUUCCAUUUGAGAUAAUCUUACGGAACAGCAAAUGCACCUAUCCUUGCCANNNNNNNNNNGAUCUCUGAGCAUCGAUGGCUUGAUGUUUGGAAUAAGCUCCUUAGCUUUUCGGUAUACCAGG
rnacentral:misc_RNA from 1 species